CGUGUAGGCGGUCAGGUAAGUGGGACGUGAAAUGCCUCGGCUCACCCGAGGAGCGGCGUCCCAUACUGCUUGGCUUGAGUACGGGAGAGGAUGUGGGAAUUCCUGGUGUAGCGGUGAAAUGCGUAGAUAUCAGGAGGAACACCGGUGGCGAAGGCGCACAUCUGGCCCGAUACUGACGCUGAAGCGCGAAGCAGGGAGCAAACA
rnacentral:rRNA from 1 species